GAUGAACGCUGGCGGCGUGCCUAAUACAUGCAAGUCGAGCGAACAGACGAGGAGCUUGCUCCUCUGACGUUAGCGGCGGACGGGUGAGUAACACGUGGAUAACCUACCUAUAAGACUGGGAUAACUUCGGGAAACCGGAGCUAAUACCGGAUAAUAUAUUGAACCGCAUGGUUCAAUAGUGAAAGACGGUUUUGCUGUCACUUAUAGAUGGAUCCGCGCCGCAUUAGCUAGUUGGUAAGGUAACGGCUUACCAAGGCAACGAGGCGUAGCCGACCUGAGAGAGUGAUCGGCCACCCUGGAACUGAGACACGGUCCAGACUCCUACGGGAGGGAGCAGUAGGGAAGCUGCCGCAAUGGGCGAAAGCCUGACGGAGCAACGCCGCGUGAGUGAUGAAGGUCUUCGGAUCGUAAAACUCUGUUAUUAGGGAAGAACAAAUGUGUAAGUAACUAUGCACGUCUUGACGGUACCUAAUCAGAAAGCCACGGCUAACUACGUG
rnacentral:rRNA from 1 species